rfam:Stegodyphus mimosarum contig118400, whole genome shotgun sequence.
GCCUUCGUUGUGUAGUUGUCAGCACGCUGGACGCAAAACCGAGAGGUCCGUGGUUCGAUUCCCGGCGAAGGCG